GACGAACGCUGGCGGCGUGCUUAACACAUGCAAGUCGAACGCUGAAGCUCAUCUUUUGUUGGGUGGAUGAGUGGCGAACGGGUGAGUAACACGUGAGUAACCUGCCUCCUUCUUUGGGAUAACGCCCGGAAACGGGUGCUAAUACUGGAUAUUCACUGGUCUUCGCAUGGGGGUUGGUGGAAAGGGUUUUUCUGGUGGGGGAUGGGCUCGCGGCCUAUCAGCUUGUUGGUGGGGUGAUGGCCUACCAAGGCUUUGACGGGUAGCCGGCCUGAGAGGGUGACCGGUCACAUUGGGACUGAGAUACGGCCCAGACUCGUACGGGAGGCAGAAGUGGGGAAUAUUGCACAAUGGGCGCAAGCCUGAUGCAGCGACGCCGCGUGAGGGAUGGAGGCCUUCGGGUUGUGAACCUCUUUCGCUAAUGGUCAAGCCGCAACAAUGGUUGUGGUGAGGGUAGUGGGUAAAGAAGCGCCGGCUAACUACGUG
rnacentral:rRNA from 1 species